rnacentral:misc_RNA from 1 species
UCUCCGUUGGUGAACCAGCGGAGGGAUCAUUACCGAGUUUACAACCCCCAAACCCCAUGUUAACCUUACCAAACGUUACUUCGGCAGGGUGCCCUGGGCGCGGGCCGCAAGGCCGCCGGCCCGGAACCCGCCGCCCGCCGGUGGGGCCAACCAAACUCUUGGUUUUGUAUAAUCUUCUGCUUGACCUAUUCGGCCAACAAUGAAACAAAAAUUUCAACAACGGAACCAUUGGUUUCGGCAACGAUGAAGAACGCAGCAGAAUCGAAGAGGAAAGGUUCG